AUGGAUUCAAAAACCAAGAGGCAACGCUACACACGGCAGUGGAAAUAUGCACGGAGAUCACUGCAUGAAAGGUGUAUUGGAGAGGAGUCAUCAGUUCAUCCAGUAUCACUUCAAGAAAGAAUUAAUGAAGAAAAUUACACUGAAGACAUCUCAAGUGUUACUGAAAGUGUAGAAAUUUUGGUCAGUGGGGAGAGCUGCAGUUCAGGACCUGACAGUGUGGCCGAUGUGUCCAGUGAGGAAAACUGCAAUUCAGAAACUGAGGAUGAAAACAAAGUGGCCCAAACUUCACUCUCAACAUUUUUACAAGAAUGGGCAACAAAACACCUCAUUAAGCAUAAUGCCCUAGAUGAUCUCCUUGAAGGACUUAAAAAAAAUGGACACCCAGAGCUUCCAUCAACAGCAAGGACAUUGCUGAAAACUCCAAGACUCAUUAAAUCAGUGGUAAAAUCAGGAAUGGAGUGUGUCCAUUUUAAUUUAAGAGAGAGCCUUCUUGAGCAGCUGCAGCGCUAUCCAAGAGAGAUUACAGAAGGAGUUAGCACAUUGGAGCUAUCAUUUAAUAUAGAUGGCCUGCCUAUUUUUAAAAGCAGCAAAACCUAUCUUUGGCCCAUCCUCUGUGCCAUUCACCUGCCACCCAUCAGUGUCUUUCCUGUCACACUGACACUCGGUCCCACCAAACCAACAAAUUUGGAUUUUACUGAAAAAGCCAUAAAGGACAUUCAGGAACUUCUGGACAAUGGUUUGGAUGGAAAAGAAAUAAAAAUCAGAUGUGUUGUGUGUGACGCACCCGCAAGAGCCAUGGUAAAAAAUAUCAAACAGUAUUCUGGGUACUAUGGGUGUGAUAAAUGCACACAGAAGGGCACAUGGGUGGUUGGACGCGUGACCUACCCAGAGGUUGAUAACCUCACUUUACGAAGCAAUGACACAUUUCGCGCUGAAAUGACUAGACGUCAAGAAAAUGAGGACACUCCUGUGUCCCCCUUUUUGAGCCUCCCACUAGACAUGGUACAACAAUUCCCAAUUGAUUACAUGCACCAAGCUUGCCUGGGAGUAAUGAAAAAACUAAUAACAGUGUGGGUUAGAGGAGACAGGAAAGUGAGAAUGUCUGCUGGGCAAAUAAGCAAUGUGACCCAAAGGCUGCUGUCACUUCGAAAGGUCAUUCCCAGCUGUUUUGCCCGGAAACCUAGAAAUCUGGAAGACGUUGACAGGUGGAAGGCAACCGAACUGCGGCAGUUUGCUGUUUACACAGGAAAGAUCGUGCUUAAAGGAAUUCUGGCUGACCAGCUAUAUGAUCACUUCAUGGUCUUUAGUGUUGCCUUGGGUCUUCUGCUUUGCCCUACACUUGCAGUGGAACACAACAGCUACAGCAAAGAGCUGAUGAAAUACUUUGUUGGAAAAGCAGGAGAACUAUAUGGAGACCACUUCAUGGUGUACAAUGUACAUUCAAUGGUGCAUUUACCAGAGGAGGCAAUGGCUUAUGGCAGUCUUGAUGCUUGCAGUGCAUUCCCUUUUGAAAAUUAUCUUGGGAAGCUGAAACAACUUGUAAGGUCAGGAAAGCAGCCACUUACUCAAGUGGUGAAACGGCUAGAGGAGAUGUCAAAAUCCCCAUUGUCUGUGGAGGUCUCUGAGCCCAAAUUCAAAAGGGCUAAUAAUGCUUUCAUACUUGAUGAAGGUAAAUGCUGUGAGGCCAUUGAAGAGAGAGAGUCGGAUGACGGUUGCCAGAUGCUGCUGUGCAAGCUUUUUGAGAAAACAGAACCACUUUUCAGAGAUCCAUGUGACUCAAGAAUACUUGGAUGCUUCAAAGUGCAAUCAAGGCAUGCUGUCAUGAAGCUCAUACCAAACGGCAACUCACAAGAAAAGCUAUAA
ensembl:lncRNA